AGGCAGUUAGUAUAAAAUAAAAUAUUUGAUUUCGGCUCAAAAGACUGUGGUUUGACUCCACAACUGCCUU
rnacentral:tRNA from 1 species